GUACUCUGGCUAGAGUAACCUAUGUGACAGUAUCACCAUCCUAUCCCAACUAUAAGUUUGUUUUGUUUAACGACACAACUAGAGCAUAUUUAUUUAUUAUUAUUAAUACUGGAUGUCAGACAUUUGGUAAUUUUGACAUAUAGUCGGGGGUCUUUGGUAAGUACCAUCCCAUAGACAGGCUAGCACAUACCAGGCUUAAACGAGAAAUAGUUCAAUGGGCCCACCAACUGGAAUCGAUCACAGACAGACAUGCGACCUAUUUACCACCGGGCUAUGUCCCGCCCCAAUCCCAACAAACCAUUUACCACGUUUCAAUGUAGCAUCAUAAAACACGCAUUCUUUUUCUCUGGUUGCGUACCUCUGAAACAACAAGCUGCUAGUUCAAUUGGCGUACAAGUUACAGACGACUGAUAACAUCAAUAAACUCCCAUAUUGUAAAGAGCAAGAAGGGCGUUGUUCAUCAUGUCAAGGGAGAGAACUUCGUGAUACUUUAUUAUUCCAUCUCUUAGCAACUGGGCACUAAGCAGCUGAGCUUCCUUUGCCAUCACCUUCGGUGGCCGCGCCAAUGGCUUGCCAUUCACACCGGGACUCAUCGACAACAGCUGUAUUGAGUCGGAUGGACAUGAGUUGAUGGAGAGAGAGAUCAUGGCCACCCUGACAAACACGUGCAACAGCUGGUUUCUG
rnacentral:lncRNA from 1 species